rnacentral:misc_RNA from 1 species
GAAAUGCGAUAAGUAAUGUGAAUUGCAGAAUUCAGUGAAUCAUCGAAUCUUUGAACGCACAUUGCGCCCGCCAGCAUUCUGGCGGGCAUGCCUGUCCGAGCGUCAUUUCAACCAUCAAGCCCCGGGCUUGUGUUGGGGACCUGCGGCCGCCCGCAGGCCCCGAAAACCAGUGGCGGGCUCGCUGUCACCCCGAGCGUAGUAGCGUCUAUCUCGCUCAGGGCGUGCUGCGGGUUCCAGCCGUUAAAGCGCUUCUUAUACCCAAAGGUUGACCUCGGAUCAGGUAGGAGUACCCGCUGAACUUAA